rnacentral:rRNA from 1 species
AUGACUAGGGAUAACCUUAGGAAGAGACACAUCAUCAAACCCCUUGAUUGUGUUUACUGCUUGGAACAAGAGUCUUAUUCUCACCUAUUUUUUGAAUGUAUAGUUGCUAAACAUCCCUGGGCCCACAUACAGGAAUAUUUCUCUAGUCAGAUUGGCUCAUCCUUCGAAUCUGUCGCCAGAUUCUGGAUUGCUACCAAAAAGUGCUGAAUUUUAAACACUGUUAGCUCAGCUGUCCUUUGGUGCCUCUGGAAAUAUAGAAAUGCUAUGAUUUUCAGUAACACCUCCUGGAUUUCGAUUCCACAGGUCUUGAGGUUGAUCAGGAACAUGGUGAGGAACUGGGCGAUUCUCUCCUCCGGAUCGGACAAGGACAAGUUGAUGAGCUUCGUGAACACCCUAACAAGAUCCCUCUAG